rnacentral:rRNA from 1 species
GUGGUAGGGGAGCGUUCUGUAAGCCGAUGAAGGUGGAUUGAGAAGUCUGCUGGAGGUAUCAGAAGUGCGAAUGCUGACGUGAGUAACGACAAUGCGAGUGAAAAACUCGCACGCUGAAAGACCAAGGGUUCCAGUCCAACGUUAAUCGGGGCUGGGUGAGUCGACCCCUAAGGCGAGGCCGAGAGGCGUAGUCGAUGGGAAAUUGGUUAAUAUUCCAAUACUUCUGUGUAAUGCGAUGAGAGGACGGAGAAGGUUAAGUCAGCCUGGCGUUGGUUGUCCAGGUGGAAGGUUGUAGGCAUGUAUCUUAGGCAAAUCCGGGGUACUCUAUGCUGAGAACUGAUAGCAAGCUGUACUUGUACAGUGAAGUGGCUGAUACCAUGCUUCCAGGAAAAGUCUCUAAGCUUCAGUUACACAGGAAUCGUACCCGAAACCGACACAGGUGGUCAGGUCGAGUAGACCAAAGCGCUUGAGAGAACUCUGCUGAAGGAACUAGGCAAAAUGGUACCGUAACUUCGGGAGAAGGUACGCUGUUGUCUGUGAUAGGACUUGCUCCUUGAGCGGGCGACAGCCUCAGAAACCAGGCCCCUGCAACUGUUUAUUAAAAACAUAGCACUCUGCAAACACGAAAGUGGACGUAUAGGGUGUGAUGCCUGCCCGGUGCUGGAAGGUUAAUUGAUGGGGUUAGCGUAAGCGAAGCUCUUGAUCGAAGCCCCAGUAAACGGCGGCCGUAACUAUAACGGUCCUAAGGUAGCGAAAUUCCUUGUCGGGUAAGUUCCGACCUGCACGAAUGGCAUAAUGAUGGGGGCGCUGUCUCCAGCAGAGACUCAGUGAAAUCGAAUUCGCCGUGAAGAUGCGGUGUACCCGCGGCUAGACGGAAAGACCCCGUGAACCUUUACUGCAGCUUGACAUUGAACUUUGAUCUUACUUGUGUAGGAUAGGUGGGAGGCUUUGAAGUCGCGACGCUAGUUGCGAUGGAGCCGUCCUUGAAAUACCACCCUGGUAAUAUUGAGGUUCUAACUCUGUCCCGUUAUCCGGGACGAGGACCAUGUCUGGUGGGUAGUUUGACUGGGGCGGUCUCCUCCUAAAGAGUAACGGAGGAGUACGAAGGUGCGCUCAGCGUGGUCGGAAAUCACGCGUAGAGUAUAAAGGCAAAAGCGCGCUUAACUGCGAGACCCACAAGUCGAGCAGGUACGAAAGUAGGUCUUAGUGAUCCGGUGGUUCUGUAUGGAAGGGCCAUCGCUCAACGGAUAAAAGGUACUCUGGGGAUAACAGGCUGAUACCGCCCAAGAGUUCAUAUCGACGGCGGUGUUUGGCACCUCGAUGUCGGCUCAUCUCAUCCUGGGGCUGAAGCAGGUCCCAAGGGUAUGGCUGUUCGCCAUUUAAAGAGGUACGCGAGCUGGGUUUAGAACGUCGUGAGACAGUUCGGUCCCUAUCUACCGUGGGCGUUGGAAAUUUGAGAGGAUCUGCUCCUAGUACGAGAGGACCAGAGUGGACGAACCUCUGGUGUACCGGUUGUCACGCCAGUGGCAUCGCCGGGUAGCUAUGUUCGGAAGGGAUAACCGCUGAAAGCAUCUAAGCGGGAAGCCUACCUCAAGAUAAGAUUUCCCCGAGACUUUAUGUCUCCUAAAGAGCCGUUGA